GCGGAUCAGCCCGCGCCCCGUAAAACGGGACGGCCCGCCAGAGGACCCAAACUCUAAUGUUUCUUAUUGUAACUUCUGAGUAAAACAAACAAAUAAAUCAAAACUUUCAACAACGGAUCUCUUGGUUCUGGCAUCGAUGAAGAACGCAGCAAAAUGCGAUAAGUAAUGUGAAUUGCAGAAUUCAGUGAAUCAUCGAAUCUUUGAACGCACAUUGCGCCCGCUGGUAUUCCGGCGGGCAUGCCUGUUCGAGCGUCAUUUCAACCCUCAAGCCCCCGGGUUUGGUGUUGGGGAUCGGCUCUGCCCUUCUGGGCGGUGCCGCCCCCGAAAUACAUUGGCGGUCUCGCUGCAGCCUCCAUUGCGUAGUAGCUAACACCUCGCAACUGGAACGCGGCGCGGCCAUGCCGUAAAACCCCAACUUCUGAAUGUUGACCUCGGAUCAGGUAGGAAUACCCGCUGAACUUAA
rnacentral:rRNA from 1 species